CUACGGGAUGCUCCAGUGAGGAAUAUUGCACAAUGGGGGGAACCCUGAUGCAGCAACGCCGCGUGGAGGAUGACGCAUUUCGGUGUGUAAACUCCUUUUAUAUGUCAAGAAAAUGACGGUAGCACAUGAAUAAGCACCGGCUAACUCCGUGCCAGCAGCCGCGGUAAUACGGAGGGUGCAAGCGUUACUCGGAAUCACUGGGCGUAAAGGACGCGUAGGCGGGUUGGAAAGUCAGGUGUGAAAUCCUACAGCUUAACUGUAGAACUGCACUUGAAACUUCUAAUCUAGAGUAUGGGAGGGGGAGAUGGAAUUAGUGGUGUAGGGGUAAAAUCCGUAGAUAUCACUAGGAAUACCUAAAGCGAAGGCGAUCUCCUGGAACAUUACUGACGCUAAGGCGUGAAAGUGUGGGGAGCAAACAGGAUUAGAUACCCUAGUAGUC
rnacentral:rRNA from 1 species